UUCUUCACCUGUAUCUCUCCUCUUCUGCCUUCUUCUACCGUCUCCUCACUCUCUCACUCUCUCACUCUCUCUUUCGAUGAUGGCGAGGGAAAGUGGUGAUGAAGACUAAGGUCAAAUUUGGAAUUGAUAGUCUGAUGCACUUUGCCGCAGAUGUAUCGGGUACGACUGUAGAAGCACUCAACUAUGCUUUCCCUUUUCUCAACUUAUGAUAUCAGUUACUGUAAAAUUCUAUACUUUGCAGCUUGCGCAAGGAGGUACAGUUGUAGGAACUAUAUUAUACACGUAGAAAGGGCAUGUAAUUUUUUCAAAUUAUUAAAUCAUGACAUGUAUUUUGAACGUUUUAUUUCAAGUGCAAAUCUAUAUUCUUAUA